AGCCAUCAAAAUAUAAACAAACAACGGAGCAAAAUAAACGUAGCUCAGAAUCGGCUGUUCGCGUUCGUUUUACUUUUGUUACAUUUAUUCUGCGUCGCACAAUAAGUGGCCGUGUAUCGAGUGUUUUAUUCAAUUUGACCACUGCAACAGCAUCCAACAGCACAAUGAGCGAUCCGAAGAAGAAAACGGGAAACAUCCUGUCGAACGUGGGCCCACCCUCCGAGCUGCCCAGCUUCAUUACGGCGAACGUGGCAGCACCACCAGCUGGUGCGGAAAGUGUGCCGCCUGCCGCCCCGAUGGUCACCGUAGACGAUACGACGAAGAGGGAGGAAACGGAUCCGUUCAUACCGACCACGUUCAGUCCGGCGAUUCCUGCCAGCAAGGACACGUCGCAGUUUACUGCCGAACAGGCAAUGGCGGCCGCUGCUGGUGUGCACCCGGCCGAACCGACGCUGCCCGACCAGCCCGUGGGGAGAGAUUUUGCCAGCAUGAUCCUGAACCCGGAACCGGUCGCGGCGGCCCUCAGCCCCAUCACACAGGGCGGCUCGGCCCUGUUCGGGUGGAUGAAGGGUGCCGUGUCGGGCAGUGGCAUUCUGCAGAAGGUGGCCGAAAAGGCGAAGAACUCGGUCGACACGAUCGUUACCACGCUGGAUCCGCAGAUGAAGGAGUACAUAAAUUCCGGUGGCGAUACGGAGGUGAUUGUGGCAUCGGACAAAGACGACAAGGUUCGCCCGAUACGGGAAGCAUUUCAGACAGUAUUUGGCAAGGCGACCAUCAUUGGUCUGGCCGCCCAAGCGGUUGGCAUUGCCGCCCAGCCAGUUGGGUUUGCCGCCGGCCUAAAGGGCGCCGAGCAUCGUAUCAACAGCAUUCGGGCUGAAAAUCCCCGCGUGGACGAUCAUCUGCCGGUGGUGGCGGUGGAGAACUUUGUCGUAGAACUCUUUCCCGACCAAUGGUUCGAGGCCGGUGCGAUCGUACUGUUCGAUUAUGCGAAAAAUAUCCUCCUGAAAACGGUGACGCAGAUGACGCCGAUACCGCUGCCGGUCAUUGCGGCCCUGCAAGCCGACACGCCCGAGGAUUAUAUGCUGAAGGAUACCGGAUUCGCAACUACCGUUGGUAGCGUUAUGGCCAGGAAUCUGAAUACCUCACACACCGAAUGGCACCGUUCGUACACGUCCGUGUCUCGCUCGGAUAUGAUACUGACCGCGGCCAAAACGAUAGCGACACUAUACAAGCAUGCCGUGCUCGACUACGAACUUACCGUGACGUCUCAGGUGGAUUCGGAAGUAGGAGCAGCGACCGGACCAUCCACUACCGGCGGCGAUGGCGGGGACAGUACAUCCCAACCAACGGAAUAAGAAUUAAUGUUCACCAUCAUUAGGGCUUGUCACUGUAAUCACUACUGAGCUGGUGCUGCCCUCUGCGGAUCUGUGAGCUGCAGUUGGAUGGAUAAAUGAAUGGAGAGUAGAUAGUGUGUGGAAGCUUGGCGUGACGAUCGUAGUCCAAGAUAUUGUAAAAGAAGGGAUUUUGUGAAGGUUGAAGUGGUGACGAGCUGCACGGUCGUUCCACACAAGAUGAUUGUGGAAAAGGUCAGCAUUUCGAGGAGCUUUGGAGUGUUGCUCUUCACCUUCGUUUACAGACCCAUAUCGAGAAAGACAGAGACAGAGCAUAAUGGUAAAAGUAUCGACCAACAAUCCCAUUGGGAGUGAACAACAGCAAGAAAGGAGUGAAAAAGCACAUAUAAGUUUUAAUGUUCGUUUGGGUGGCGCCCGUUACGUGACGGUGUAGAAUAAGAUAAUCCUUUUUUUUAUUGUUUUGAUCCUCCUUCCGAGACACCGAGAUUCCCUUUUGCCCGAGAUGCGAAUGGGAAAAUCGGCAUGAUUUUCAAUUUAUUGAUUCAACCCAUGAGAUUUAACCGGCCGACCCGGAUCACAGAAGAAUCGCCCGGGAUUGCCUGCUGAACAGGAUCGCGUGAAUCUCGUACGCUCGAAAGAUGAGUGAGAGAGAGAGGGAGAGAGAGAUAAUUUCUUGAAGGUGUCGAGCGUGCGCUUAUCAAAAUUAUACGACCAUAGUUUAUUAUAUAGACCAUAGCACUCGUUGAAACUAUAAGCCUAUUAUCGUAAUAAUCACCAGUAAUAAAACGCAAACUGUAAGCAGCCAUUCUUAACAAAAUGGAACGAAAUGGAACGAAA